AAAAAAAGGAAAAACAAAUCCGCAAUGGAAAAAUCGCUACACAAGAACGCGUGAAAGCUAGCUCACUUUUCUUUUUGUUUUCUUUUAUUUUUU
rnacentral:ribozyme from 1 species